UUAGAUUUUCUUUAGCACGUGUUAUUUGCCGCGUUUAUUGCAGAAAAAAUGUCAAAACGUGUGUUAUUUUUACAAGGAUUGAAAGAUUUCUGUGAAAAAAAGACAUCGUGUAGGCCUAGUAGUGUUAGUGGUCCUUUAUUUACUUCUUGUGAGGAGAAAGAAAACGUACCGGUCGGCGACAUAAAUAAAGUUAUUAAUGAACCAAAUUACAUAGAGACUGAUGUCUGUCACGACCAGUCUUGUGAGAAUAAUGAUGUUGAUCAUACUAGCGAUUUUUUUUCCUAUAUGAUAACAUAAGUCACCCCGAAGAAGGUAAUUAACAAAUAAUCAUUUUAUUAAUACGAGUAAUUUUGAGAAAAUAUAAAUAACUUUUUUAGAAUAUUUAUGCCUAACCUCUGUAGUCGAUGAUUUUUUGGAUCCUAUACCUUUUUCAGAGCAGAUCAUUAUGAGCGAACCUGUUGAUAUUAAUAAAAAAGUUACUGAUAACAUAAAUGAAGUGCAAGAUAAUGAUUGCGAUCAAUUAACUAAUACGCGCUCUAGUAAAAAUCUUCUUAAGGAAGUUUUUUUAGAUGGUUUAUACCUAAGUCCCGGAAAGAAUUCUGAUUUAGAUGAUUCAUACUCUGACCCUACUUUUUUGCC